rnacentral:rRNA from 1 species
UGGGGAAUAUUGCACAAUGGGCGCAAGCCUGAUGCAGCGACGCCGCGUGAGGGAUGACGGCCUUCGGGUUGUAAACCUCUGUUAGCAGGGAAGAAGAGAAAUUGACGGUACCUGCAGAGAAAGCGCCGGCUAACUACGUGCCAGCAGCCGCGGUAAUACGUAGGGCGCGAGCGUUGUCCGGAAUUAUUGGGCGUAAAGAGCUUGUAGGCGGUUUGUCGCGUCUGCUGUGAAAGGCCGGGGCUUAACCCCGUGUAUUGCAGUGGGUACGGGCAGACUAGAGUGCAGUAGGGGAGACUGGAACUCCUGGUGUAGCGGUGGAAUGCGCAGAUAUCAGGAAGAACACCGAUGGCGAAGGCAGGUCUC